rnacentral:tRNA from 1 species
UGGGAUAUCGCCAAGCGGUAAGGCAGCAGGUUUUGAUCCUGCCAUUCCCAGGUUCAAAUCCGGUAUCCCAGCCA